GAAAGUAAUGAAGGGCGUACGGUGGAUGCCUAGGCUCUUACAGGCGAUGAAGGACGUGAUAAGCUGCGAAAAGCCGCGGUGAGGCGCAAAUGGCCCUUGACCCGCGGAUCUCCGAAUGGGACAACCCAAUAUCUUGAAGAGAUAUUAUCCCGCCGAUGCGGGAGGCGAACGCGGGGAACUGAAACAUCUUAGUACCCGCAGGAAAAGAAAAUAAAGAAUGAUUCCCCCAGUAGUGGCGAGCGACCGGGGAAGAGCCCAAACCGACGUUGUCUCGGCAUCGUCGGGGUUGUAGGACCGCGCCAUCGCAAGAAAGGCCGUGAGUGGAAGCGACUGGAAAGCCGCGCCAUAGAGGGUGACAGCCCCUUACACGAAGCAGCCCGAAGCGUAGCGGACUCCUGAGUAGCGCGGGACACGAGUAAUCCUGUGUGAAUCCGCCGGGCCCAUCCGGCAAGGCUAAAUACUCGUAAGAGACCGAUAGUGAACCAGUACCGUGAGGGAAAGGUGAAAAGUACCCCUUGCAGGGGAGUGAAAGAGUUCCUGAAACCGUACGCCUACAAGCGGUCGGAGCAUCUUGAAUGAUGUGACGGCGUGCCUUUUGCAUAAUGAACCUACGAGUUGCCGUCACCAGCGAGGUUAAGUGCGAUGACGCACCGAGCCGCAGCGGAAGCGAGUCUUAAAAGGGCGCAAUAGUUGGUGGAGGCAGACGCGAAACCGAGUGAUCUACACUUGUCCAGGAUGAAGUCCCGGUAACACGGGAUGGAGGUCCGCACCAAUAAGCGUUGAAAAGCUUCUGGAUGAGGUGAGUGUAGGAGUGAAAGGCCAAUCAAACUCGGAGAUAGCUCGUACUCCCCGAAAGGCAUUUAGGUGCCGCCUGUGGCGUUCCCGACGUGAGGUAGAGCGACUGAUAGGAUGCGAGGGCUUCACCGCCUAUCAAGUCCUGACAAACUCCGAAUGCACGUCGGCCAAGCCAUGGAGUAAGGGCAUGGGUGCUAAGGUCCGUGCCCGAGAGGAGAAGAAUCCAGACCACCGGCUAAGGUCCCGAAAUACUGGUUAAGUUAGACUAACGCAGUCCGGCCCCCAAGACAGCUAGGAUGUUGGCUUGGAAGCAGCCAUUCAUUCAAAGAGUGCGUAACAGCUCACUAGUCGAGGAGCUGGGCGUGGAUAAUAAUCGGGUAUGAAACCAGUUACCGAAGCCGUGGGAUGCUUAAGCAUCGGUAGGGGAGCAUUGCAUGCGGCUUAGAAGGCGGGGCGCGAGCCCCUCUGGAGCGCAUGGAAACGCAAAUGUAGGUAUAAGUAACGACAAGGGGGGUGGGAUGCCCCCCCGCCGAAAGACCAAGGUUUCCUGAACAACGCUAAUCGGUUCAGGGUCAGUCGGGUCCUAAGCAUAAGCCGUAUGGCGAGGGCGAUGGACGAAACGGUUAAUAUUCCGUUACUGUCUUGGUGUGUGACGCGGCGACGGAGUAGUGACACGGCCGCCUCCUGACGGAAAAGGGGGUUGAAGCGCAAAGGUGUCGAGGAAGGCAGGCAAAUCCACCUUCCGAGCCGAAGCGCGAAAGUACGCCGGGCCCUUUGGGGCAAGGCGAUAGUGCCGGUAAUCAGACUUCCAAGAAAACCCGCUAAACUUCAGCACCAAGUCACCCGUACUCUAAACGGACACACGUGGUCGGGUAGAAUAUACUAAGGCGCUUGGGAGAUUCACGGUUAAGGAACUAGGCAAAUUGACCCCGUACCUUCGGAAUAAGGGGUCCUCGCUUUUGCGAGGCGCAGAGAAUAGGUCCAGGCAACUGUUUAACAAAAACACAGGGCUGUGCAAAUUUGAAAGAAGAAGUAUACAGCCUGACACCUGCCCGGUGCCGGAAGGUUAAGAGGAGAGCUCAUCAGCGAUGAGAAGGUUUGAAUUGAAGCCCCGGUAAACGGCGGCCGUAACUAUAACGGUCCUAAGGUAGCGAAAUUCCUUGUCGGGUAAGUU
rnacentral:rRNA from 1 species